rnacentral:rRNA from 1 species
GAAGCUUGCUUCUUGGGUGGCGAGUGGCGAACGGGUGAGUAACAUAUCGGAACGUACAGAGUAGUGGGGGAUAACUGAUCGAAAGAUCAGCUAAUACCGCAUACGUCUUGAGAGGGAAAGCAGGGGACCUUCGGGCCUUGUGCUAUUCGAGCGGCCGAUAUCUGAUUAGCUAGUUGGUGGGGUAAAGGCCUACCAAGGCGACGAUCAGUAGCGGGUCUGAGAGGAUGAUCCGCCACACUGGGACUGAGACACGGCCCAGACUCCUACGGGAGGCAGCAGUGGGGAAUUUUGGACAAUGGGCGCAAGCCUGAUCCAGCCAUGCCGCGUGUCUGAAGAAGGCCUUCGGGUUGUAAAGGACUUUUGUCAGGGAAGAAAAGGCUGUUGCUAAUAUCAGCGGCUGAUGACGGUACCUGAAGAAUAAGCACCGGCUAACUACGUGCCAGCAGCCGCGGUAAUACGUAGGGUGCGAGCGUUAAUCGGAAUUACUGGGCGUAAAGCGAGCGCAGACGGUUACUUAAGCAGGAUGUGAAAUCCCCGGGCUCAACCCGGGAACUGCGUUCUGAACUGGGUGACUCGAGUGUGUCAGAGGGAGGUAGAAUUCCACGUGUAGCAGUGAAAUGCGUAGAGAUGUGGAGGAAUACCGAUGGCGAAGGCAGCCUCCUGGGAUAACACUGACGUUCAUGCUCGAAAGCGUGGGUAGCAAACAGGAUUAGAUACCCUGGUAGUCCACGCCCUAAACGAUGUCAAUUAGCUGUUGGGCAACUUGAUUGCUU